CAGUAGCCGCGGUAAUACAGAGGGUGCGAGCGUUAAUCGGAUUUACUGGGCGUAAAGCGUGCGUAGGCGGCUUUUUAAGUCGGAUGUGAAAUCCCUGAGCUUAACUUAGGAAUUGCAUUCGAUACUGGGAAGCUAGAGUAUGGGAGAGGAUGGUAGAAUUCCAGGUGUAGCGGUGAAAUGCGUAGAGAUCUGGAGGAAUACCGAUGGCGAAGGCAGCCAUCUGGCCUAAUACUGACGCUGAGGUACGAAAGCAUGGGGAGCAAACAGGAUUAGAUACCCGGGUAGUCACUGUCUCUUAUAC
rnacentral:rRNA from 1 species